UACGGAGGGUGCGAGCGUUGUCCGGAAUCACUGGGCGUAAAGGGCGCGUAGGCGGCCUGAUAAGUAGGGGGUGAAAUCUUGCGGCUUAACCGCAAGGCUGCCUUCUAAACUGUCAGGCUAGAGCACAGUAGAGGCAGGUGGAAUUCCCGGUGGUAGCGGUGGAAUGCGUAGAGAUCGGGAAGAACAUCAGUGGCGAAGGCGGC
rnacentral:rRNA from 1 species